CCUGGGCAUGGAAGCUUCUGCAAAUUUUUCAACUACAAGCUCGGUUUUUCAAUAGAUUAUCUAUUUCUUUUUGGCUGAACUUAGUUCCUUUCACCGAACUUGCCAGAUGUCGUUUAUGUUAGAAUCAUUCACAGAAUCCUUUUAAUUUCUGUGGGAUCUGAAAUCUAUUUUUACUUCCAAUAUUGAAUUCCUGGAGUUCUGAUUGACAUGGACAACUUGUCUCGGCUCUACCAGAGCAGAGGAAUGGUCUUAUUUUGCCUCCUGCCAGGCUCUGUCUCCAUUGGAACAUGUAUAGAUGUCCGAUUGGGCCUGUCCCUCAAAGGCUGAAUUUAUCAUCCGUUGAUUUUCACUGGUUUCAGGAUCAAAAGGGGUGAAAACCCAGAAGGCCUCUCAUAGCCUUUUGCAGAAACCAUCCAAGCUUUCAUCUGGUUCAUGUAGCACCUCAGUGGUCUUAGCUAUGUUAGCAGGAUUGUUUUACCCCCCUGUAGGAGAGAGGGCCUGUGGAUAUCUCUCCAACUGCUUUCCUCCCCCGUCUAUAUUGAGGUGCCAGCAAGUCUCUUCCUCUGGGAAGUUCUCCCAAGCCCAGUUCUCCACAUCUAAUUGGCCGCCUGGAGCCAUUUUCUAGCCUUUGUCAUGACUCAUCCCCAUUCCUCUCUAUUGAAUAGGGUGAGGAGAUGAUGCAGGCAGUUUCCCCAGGUGGGGCGGUGGGUCUGGAAGAUGGAUUCUAAGAGACCAAUCACCGCUUGGGGCUUUUCAGAGUAUGAGGGGUGUGCUGUUUCCAGUUAAAGAGAUCAGUCAUGGAAAAAGGCUGGUAGUCAAAAACGGGGCAACAGAGCAGAAACUGUGAGCUUGUGUAUGUCUCUUGAUGUAAUUGUAGAUUUGUGGAACCACUGUCCGGAGAUGUCACUGGCCAUCCUUUCCUCGUUCCUGUUUUAGACAGGGGCGCCACAGAGAUACACUGACCAGGCUCCCAGAGCCUGUGGAUGCCUCGUGCCUCCUCUUCUUGUUGCUCCAAGUCUCAUGUUCUGUCACCUUCCUCUCUGUGUCUGAUGUGAGCCAGGCACAUGCACACACACAGAAAGACACGCAAACACAGGCGACAUAAGCAUACCUGUGUAAACACACACAAGGAAGGCACAGAGACACAAACAGGGAACACAGGUGUUCCAGUAGCUGAGGACGCCUGUGUCCAGCAAUAUGGGAGAUGGUGUCAGUAGGCGCCGUGUCCUGCCCUUUUGGGAUCCCUGUCCAUUUCUUCCCCCAGCUGUUCAGUAUUAUCACCAGCCAGCCUUAAGUCGUUUCUGGCUUUGUAGUGGUGGUGAGAGGCCAAUCGGUAGAUGUGGAAAUUCACAGAAGACCCCAAAGUCAGCACAAAAGUACCAAGGGACAGUGGAGAGAAACCCAUUCCAACUGGUGGUGCUUUCCAGGAGGAAGGUUGGGACUUAAGGGCCCAGGGCAAUCUCAAACUCAGUGAGCAGCAGGAGGCCUGGGGGUGGCUCAAUCUGGGGAAAGAUGAUUCUGACAAAGGUGCUUGAUUCACCCUGUCUCUCUCAGAAUCACCUAGGAUUCUCAUCUUGUAAUCACAGCUUCUUCCAGUGAGACUUGGACACACAAAGUCCCUAAGCCUCCAGUCUCAGCUUGUCACUUGCUACCAGUAUGACCCACAUCCAGGCUCCACAUCCAGCCUGCAUAAGCCCGAGCAUCCCCAUUUGGGAAAGGAGAGUGUCCCAGCCUCUACAUGGCUAUCCCUUCAGGGCCCACCUUUGAUCCCCUCGCAACCUGUGUUUCUGUCAGUAACCUCUCAUGGCAGGAUCUACCCCCCUGGGAAGUACUGCAGGAGGUCGAGCCACACGUCUUCACUGAUUACCUGCUGGCAACACGAACAAGGUCAGCAUGGGGCUCACCAGGACUCAAACCCUUCGUGAACAGUGAAGAACUCCAACACGAAUCACCAAUUCCUCAGAGGCCCAGAGCAACCCCAUCUCAGCAAUCCUGUUUGAUCCUGGGCAGUUGUGAUCCAACAACCAGUUGAGGACGUUAAGGCUGCUGGUUUCCAGCCUGCAGCUUGGAGCUCCCCAUUUAUAAACCCAGAACCAGUGGACUGGAGUGGAAUAACACGGCAUGUAUCCUGGAGGAAGACAGGGGAGGCAGGGAAGGAUCGUGCAGGAGGAGCAUCCACUCCCUUCCCCACACACCCACACCACGCUGGGAGGCAGGUUGUACCAGUGAUGUCAAGGUAGUACUCCUUAACGAUGACUGUGUUCCUGAAGUAGGGUUUGCUCCGAAAGGCAACUUAGCAGCGUGCAGCGGGACCAGGGAUGCCUCAGUUCCUGCACCUGCCAGGACCAGGAGGAGGGGAAAUGUGCAAGUUUCUAGGGUCCAUAGCUUGCCUGCAGGGCAGGCAUCAACAGCUUCUGCUUCUCCACUCCAAGUGCUCACACCACAUAAGAUGAUCCCCCACUUCCCUGCCCAGCUCCCCUACCCACCUGUCCUCAUUCUCCCUCACUGACCUUCAAAUCGAUCACGUAGCUAAGCAAGAGUUCAACUUGUUCACUGAUCAUGAUGGAUAGUUGGCGGUUGUUCACAAUCCGCUGCAGGUCAAGGAGCCAGUCAUGCCACAUGCCGGGCCAGGUAGAGCCACAAGCAACAGGGCUAGUUUGGGAAGGAACAAGUGAGAGGGUAAGAGGCAGGAAGGCUAGGGGCCCCGAAUGGAGGAAAUAGGCUGCAAGUGUCAGACAUUUUUAUCUCUGUCUCAAGCGGCAGGAGGAAACAAACUACACGUAUCAGAUUUUUUUUUCCCCUUCUCGAUACAAAAUUAAAAGGAAGCUGCUUUUAAAAUUCUGUGUUGCCAUGAUGACACCUGGUUCCACCUGGACUUUUCUCAAACCUUGAGCCAACCAAUGCGUUUUUCUGAUGGAAAUGUUUUUCUUAAGCUAUGCUAAUGAACUAUGUAUUUACCCUAGACUCUGUCUGUCUUCAAGUCCAUUCCACCUAAGACUCAGGACAGACAAUGCCUCAACAAACCAGUAUGGUUUACUCAUAAAAUUGUUCUCCUAA